rnacentral:rRNA from 1 species
AGGACGAACGCUGGCGGCGUGCUUAACACAUGCAAGUGGAGCGACGAACCUGGCUUCGGCCAGGGGCAAAGCCGCGAACGGGUGAGUAUCACGUGGGUAACGUGCCCCGAUGACCGGGACAACCCGAGGAAACUCGGGCUAAUACCGGAUGUGCUGUUCGGUCGCAAGACCGUCCAGUAAAGGAAGCUUCGGCCUCCGCAUUGGGAGCGGCCCGCGGCCCAUUAGCUUGUUGGUGAGGUAACGGCUCACCAAGGCAACGAUGGGUAGCUGGUCUGAGAGGACGAUCAGCCACACUGGGACUGAGACACGGCCCAGACUCCUACGGGAGCAGCAGUGGGAAUCGUUGCGCAAUCGCGCGAAAGCGUGACGCAGCAACGCCGCGUGAGGAAGCGGCCUUGGGUGUAAACCUCUUCGAGGAGGACGAAGUUCGAGGCGACGAA